rnacentral:rRNA from 1 species
AAGCGGAGGAAAAGAAACCAACAGGGAUUGCCUUAGUAGCGGCGAGUGAAGCGGCAAAAGCUCAAAUUUGAAAUCUGGCACUUUCAGUGUCCGAGUUGUAAUUUGAAGAAGGUAUCUUUGGGUCUGGCUCUUGUCUAUGUUUCUUGGAACAGAACGUCACAGAGGGUGAGAAUCCCGUGCGAUGAGAUGUCCCAGACCUAUGUAAAGUUCCUUCGAAGAGUCGAGUUGUUUGGGAAUGCAGCUCUAAGUGGGUGGUAAAUUCCAUCUAAAGCUAAAUAUUGGCGAGAGACCGAUAGCGAACAAGUACAGUGAUGGAAAGAUGAAAAGAACUUUGAAAAGAGAGUGAAAAAGUACGUGAAAUUGUUGAAAGGGAAGGGCUUGAGAUCAGACUUGGUAUUUUGUAUGUUACUCUCUCGGGGGUGGCCUCUACAGUUUACCGGGCCAGCAUCAGUUUGAGCGGUAGGAUAAGUGCAAAGAAAUGUGGCACUGCUUCGGUAGUGUGUUAUAGUCUUUGUCGAUACUGCCAGCUUAGACUGAGGACUGCGGCUUCGGCCUAGGAUGUUGGCAUAAUGAUCUUAAGUCGCCCGUCUUGA